GUAUUGAUUGCGUGUGACCGCAAAAAAAGAAAAGAAAAACAUUCUACACUGUAUCAAGUUUUAUGUGAAGACGCAAGCCCUCCUUGCAUAAGAAGGGCCCACGCGGUGAUGCACAAGGGGGGUGAGAUGGAUGUGUGAGAGUGCUUGAGCGUGCACAACCUUUGAAAGGUUAGCGACAGCCUUUGCACCCCCGUUUUACGAUAAUGAUCCUUCCGCAGGUUCACCUACGGAAA
rnacentral:misc_RNA from 1 species